AAUUCCAGUUUAUCCUGCUGGAGAGUGCUGCUAUCAAGAUCCGACUAAGCCAUGCAAGUUACCUGCAAGGGGGCGAACUGCUGAGUAACACGUAGUUAAUCUGCCCUUAACUCCUGAAUACCCUUGGGAAACUGAGGUUAAUAUGGGAUAGACGAAGGAGGCUGGAAUGCAUCUUCGUUGAAAGGCAACGGUUAAGGAUGAGACUGCGGCCUAUCAGGUAGUUGUUGGAGUAAUAGCCCAACAAGCCGAUGACGGGUAAGGGCCUUGAGAGAGGGAGCCCUCAGA
rnacentral:rRNA from 1 species